UGUUGGGGUAACGGCCCAACAAGCCUGUCAUCGGUACGGGUUGUGGGAGCAAGAGCCCGGAGAUGGAUUCUGAGACACGAAUCCAGGCCCUACGGGGCGCAGCAGGCGCGAAAACUUUACCAUGCGGGCAACCGUGAUAAGGAAACCCCGAGUGCCAGCACAGGCUGGCUGUCCGCCAGUGUAAAUAACUGGUGAAGAAAGGGCCGGGCAAGACCGGUGCCAGCCGCCGCGGUAAUACCGGCGGCUCGAGUGGUGGCCGCUAUUACUGGGCUUAAAGGGUCCGUAGCUUGAUAUAGAAGUCCCUUGAGAAAUCCGCCAGCUUAACUGGCGGGCGUUCAGGGGAAACUGUAUUUCUAGGGACCGGGAGAGGUGAGAGGUACUGCCGGGGUAGGAGUGAAAUCCUGUAAUCCCGGUGGGACCACCUAUGGCGAAGGCAUCUCACCAGAACGGGUCCGACAGUGAGGGACGAAAGCUGGGGGAGCAAACCGGAUUAGAU
rnacentral:rRNA from 1 species